CCUACGGGAGGCAGCAGUGAGGAAUAUUGGUCAAUGGUCGGGAGACUGAACCAGCCAAGCCGCGUGAGGGAGGAAGGUACAGAGUAUCGUAAACCUCUUUUGUCAGGGAACAAAGACUGGGACGCGUCCCCGGAUGAGUGUACCUGAAGAAAAAGCAUCGGCUAACUCCGUGCCAGCAGCCGCGGUAAUACGGGGGAUGCGAGCGUUAUCCGGAUUUAUGGGGUUUACGGGGUGCGCAGGCGGUCUGUUAAGUCAGCGGUCAAAGCCCGGGGCUCAACCCCGGCCCGCCGUUGAAACUGGCAGUCUCGAGUUGGAGAGAAGUAUGCGGAAGGCGCGGUGUAGCGGUGAAAUGCAUAGAUAUCGCGCAGAACUCCGAUUGCGAAGGCAGCAUGCCGGCUCCACACUGACGCUGAGGCACGAAAGCGUGGGUAUCGAACAGGAUUAGAUACCCGUGUAGUC
rnacentral:rRNA from 1 species